AGGUUAACCGUAUAGGGGAGCCGUAGGGAAACCGAGUCUUAACUGGGCGAAUGAGUUGCAGGGUAUAGACCCGAAACCCGGUGAUCUAUCCAUGGGCAGGUUGAAGGUUGGGUAACACUAACUGGAGGACCGAACCGACUAAUGUUGAAAAAUUAGCGGAUGACUUGUGGAUGGGGGUGAAAGGCCAAUCAAACCGGGAGAUAGCUGGUUCUCCCCGAAAGCUAUUUAGGUAGCGCCUCGUGAACUCAUCUUCGGGGGUAGAGCACUGUUUCGACUAGGGGGUCAUCCCGACUUACCAACUCGAUGCAAACUGCGAAUACCGAAGAAUGUUAUCACGGGAGACACACGGCGGGUGCUAACGUCCGUCGUGAAGAGGGAAACAACCCAGACCGCCAGCUAAGGUCCCAAAGUCAUGGUUAAGUGGGAAACGAAGUGGGAAGGCUCAGACAGCCAGGAUGUUGGCUUAGAAGCAGCCAUCAUUUAAAGAAAGCGUAAUAGCUCACUGGUC
rnacentral:rRNA from 1 species